rnacentral:rRNA from 1 species
UUUGACUGGGGCGGUCUCCUCCUAAAGAGUAACGGAGGAGCACGAAGGUUGGCUAAUCCUGGUCGGACAUCAGGAGGUUAGUGCAAUGGCAUAAGCCAGCUUGACUGCGAGCGUGACGGCGCGAGCAGGUGCGAAAGCAGGUCAUAGUGAUCCGGUGGUUCUGAAUGGAAGGGCCAUCGCUCAACGGAUAAAAGGUACUCCGGGGAUAACAGGCUGAUACCGCCCAAGAGUUCAUAUCGACGGCGGUGUUUGGCACCUCGAUGUCGGCUCAUCACAUCCUGGGGCUGAAGUAGGUCCCAAGGGUAUGGCUGUUCGCCAUUUAAAGUGGUACGCGAGCUGGGUUUAGAACGUCGUGAGACAGUUCGGUCCCUAUCUGCCGUGGGCGCUGGAGAACUGAGGGGGGCUGCUCCUAGUACGAGAGGACCGGAGUGGACGCAUCACUGGUGUUCGGGUUGUCAUGCCAAUGGCACUGCCCGGUAGCUAAAUGCGGAAGAGAUAAGUGCUGAAAGCAUCUAAGCACGAAACUUGCCCCGAGAUGAGUUCUCCCUGAGACUUAGAGUCUCCUGAAGGAACGUUGAAGACGACGACGUUGAUAGGCCGGGUGUGUAAGCGCAGCGAUGCGUUGAGCUAACCGGUACUAAUGAACCGUGAGG